AUUAAAGAAUUCUUACUUGGGGAAGAGUUGAAUGUUUCCAUGAUACAAACAUUCAUGAGGCUAUUAUACAAUGAUGUGAGGCGAUCUAGUCAGCCAAUCUUUGGUUGGUUAUGUCCAAGCUUUGUACGAGAUGACAGUUGCGUACAAAACGAAAAAGAGGUGAAAGUAUAUCUCAAGGAUUCUUUGAACGCAUGUUCUCGUCUUGGAUAUAAGAUCGUUCUUCUUCCUUACAUUGAAUCGAACCAUUGGACACUCAUUGCAAUAUGUGUGUCAAGUAACGAAGUCUACCACUUUAUUCUUUGCGUAAAGGAACAAUACGGUCCUUACUAGUCAAAUCAUUGUUAAAUAGUGUGAUGAAGAAGAUUACUUCAUCUGGACUUCGACAAGGAAAAGCUCCUGUUUGGUAUUUAGUCGAGUGUCCGGUACAAGAAGGUGGACUUGCGUGUGGGUAUUACGUCAUGAGGUUCAUGCUCGAUAUCGUCAACUAUUGCAAAGAUGUUGUUGAUCUUCGAAAGGUAUGUAACUUUUAGGUUUCCAAUUGUUGUUUGUUGUAUUUCCGGCCUAUUUUAGCCUUUUCGCUCCCAAAAUGUAGUUAUGAUGUGAUUUAACCUCAAAUUCUCUUUGAACAUGAUUAUAUGAGGCAUAUUAUAACUAGUAUGUAGAUUC